rnacentral:rRNA from 1 species
CUACGGGUCGCUGCAGUGAGGAAUAUUGCACAAUGGGGGGAACCCUGAUGCAGCAACGCCGCGUGAAGGAUGACGCAUUUCGGUGUGUAAACUCCUUUUAUAUGUCAAGAAAAUGACGGUAGCAUAUGAAUAAGCACCGGCUAACUCCGUGCCAGCAGCCGCGGUAAUACGGAGGGUGCAAGCGUUACUCGGAAUCACUGGGCGUAAAGGACGCGUAGGCGGGUUGGAAAGUCAGGUGUGAAAUCCUACAGCUUAACUGUAGAACUGCACUUGAAACUUCUAAUCUAGAGUAUGGGAGGGGGAGAUGGAAUUAGUGGUGUAGGGGUAAAAGCCGUAGAUAUCACUAGGAAUACCUAAAGCGAAGGCGAUCUCCUGGAACAUUACUGACGCUAAGGCGUGAAAGCGUGGGGAGCAAACAGGAUUAGAUACCCGCGUAGUC